UACGGAGGGUGCGAGCGUUGUCCGGAAUCACUGGGCGUAAAGGGCGCGUAGGCGGCCUGAUAAGUAGGGGGUGAAAUCCUGCGGCUUAACCGCAGGGCUGCCUUCUAAACUGUCAGGCUUGAGCACAGUAGAGGCAGGUGGAAUUCCCGGUGUAGCGGUGGAAUGCGUAGAGAUCCGGAAGAACACCGGUGGCGAAGGCGGCCCGCUGGGCAGGAAGGCUCGCAAGAGCCGGCUGACACUGAGGCGCGACAGCGUGGGGAGCAAACAGG
rnacentral:rRNA from 1 species